UACGUAGGGGGCAAGCGUUGUCCGGAUUUAUUGGGCGUAAAGCGCUCGCAGGCGGCUCGAUGCGUCGUGCGUGAAACACCCCGGCUCAACUGGGGAGGGUCGUGCGAUACGGUCGAGCUUGAGGCCAGUAGGGGAGUGCGGAAUUCCGGGUGUAGUGGUGGAAUGCGUAGAUAUUCGCAAGAACACCAGUGGCGAAGGCGGCUCACUGGCCCGAUACUGACGCUGAGGCACGAAAGCGUGGGGAGCAAACAGG
rnacentral:rRNA from 1 species